rnacentral:rRNA from 1 species
GACGAACGCUGGCGGCGUGCCUAAUACAUGCAAGUAGAACGCUGAAGGCGGAGCUUGCUUCUCUGGAUGAGUUGCGAACGGGUGAGUAACGCGUAGGUAACCUGCCUGGUAGCGGGGGAUAACUUUUGGAAACGAUGGCUAAUACCGCAUAAUAGUUGAUGUUGCAUGAUAUUUGCUUGAAAGGUGCAAUUGCUGCACUAGCAGAUGCCCCUGCGUUGUAUUAGCUAGUUGUUGGGGUAACGGCUCACCAAGGCGACGAUACAUAGCCGACCUGAGAGGGUGAGCGGCCACACUGGGACGGGGACACGGCCCAGACUCCUAGGGGAGGGAGCAGUAGGGAAUCUUCGGCAAUGGACGGAAGUCUGACCGAGCAACGCCGCGUGAGUGAAGAAGGUUUUCGGAUCGUAAAGCUCUGUUGUAAGAGAAGAACGAGUGUGAGAGUGGAAAGUUCAGACUGUGACGGUAUCUUACCAGAAAGCGACGGCUAACUACGUG